CAUCUUGGGUACAGGCAUACAGCAAGGAAGUCCCGAGAGCCUCCAUGCACAUACACAUCACCCGGGACUUGGUAACAGGAUCGAGCACGAUGGGAACAGACACGAGCAGAGCAUAACUCCCCGCUCUCAAGACAUGCUUUCAAACUUUGGUACGGACCUCUCCCUACGACGGGUCCGUGACUGGCCUGAUGUUCCCCGUUUUGAUCAUGGACUACGCGAAGCUCCCGAAGAAGGCGUCCUGGCUGCCGGCGAACCGGUCGACGAUGGGCGCCGUGGUGCCCUGCGCCUCGGGCGACGACUUGAGCUCCUGGUCGGAGAUGAGGAACCCCCGGUUCUGCUCAAUGUUGGUGUAGUAGUGGUUGUCGAAGGUGUCCGGCGUCGUCGGGUCCAGGUCGUUCAGGACCUCGCCGUUGCCGUUCCUCGGGCACCUCUGGGACAGGAACGCCCGGUAGGCCGAGUCCAUGGACGGGUCCGGCAUGUUGGUGCCGCUGAAGUUGUAGAGCCGGUCGGCCCUGCCAGCGGCGACGUUCUGGCAUUGGACCCUGCCGAACGUGUGGGCACCUGCGUGAUCACAUUCAACAGAAACAGUAGAUGGGGCGUUGCAUUGGUCAGAACAGUAGCAAUGUGCCAACU